rnacentral:rRNA from 1 species
UGGGGAAUAUUGGACAAUGGGCGAAAGCCUGAUCCAGCCAUGCCGCGUGUGUGAAGAAGGUCUUCGGAUUGUAAAGCACUUUAAGUUGGGAGGAAGGGCAGUAAGCGAAUACCUUGCUGUUUUGACGUUACCGACAGAAUAAGCACCGGCUAACUCUGUGCCAGCAGCCGCGGUAAUACAGAGGGUGCAAGCGUUAAUCGGAAUUACUGGGCGUAAAGCGCGCGUAGGUGGUUCGUUAAGUUGAAUGUGAAAGCCCCGGGCUCAACCUGGGAACUGCAUCCAAAACUGGCGAGCUAGAGUAGGGCAGAGGGUGGUGGAAUUUCCUGUGUAGCGGUGAAAUGCGAAGAUAUAGGAAGGAACACCAGUGGCGAAGGCGACCACCUGGGCUCAUACUGACACUGAGGUGCGAAAGCGUGGGGAGCAAACAGG